rnacentral:rRNA from 1 species
CCUACGGGGGGCAGCAGUGGGGAAUAUUGGACAAUGGGGGGAACCCUGAUCCAGCCAUGCCGCGUGUGUGAAGAAGGCCCUCGGGUUGUAAAGCACUUUCAGUGAGGAAGAACGCCUGGUGGUUAAUACCCAUCAGGAAAGACAUCACUCACAGAAGAAGCACCGGCUAACUCCGUGCCAGCAGCCGCGGUAAUACGGAGGGUGCGAGCGUUAAUCGGAAUUACUGGGCGUAAAGCGCGCGUAGGUGGCUUGAUAAGCCGGUUGUGAAAGCCCCGGGCUCAACCUGGGAACGGCAUCCGGAACUGUCAAGCUAGAGUGCAGGAGAGGAAGGUAGAAUUCCCGGUGUAGCGGUGAAAUGCGUAGAGAUCGGGAGGAAUACCAGUGGCGAAGGCGGCCUUCUGGACUGACACUGACACUGAGGUGCGAAAGCGUGGGUAGCAAACAGGAUUAGAUACCCGAGUAGUC